rnacentral:lncRNA from 1 species
AUGAGCGAGUCGAGCUCGAAGUCCAGCCAGCCCUUGGCCUCCAAGCAGAAAAAGGACGGCACUGAGAAGCGGGGCCGUGGCAGGCCGCGCAAGCAGCCUCCGGUGAGUCCCAGGACAGCGCUGGUAGGGAGUCAGAAGGAGCUCAGCGAAGUGCCAACACCUAAGAGACCUCGGGGCCGACCAAAGGGAAGCAAAAACAAGGGUGCUGCCAAGACCGGGAAAACCACCACAACUCUGGGAAGGAAACCAAGGGGAAGACCCAAAAAACUGGAGAAGGAGGAAGAGAAGGGCAUCUCGCAGGAGUCCUCACUGGAGGAGCAG